UAGAGUUUGAUCCAGGCUCAGAUUGAACGCUGGCGGCAGGCCUAACACAUGCAAGUCGAACGGUAACAGGAAACAGCUUGCUGUUUCGCUGACGAGUGGCGGACGGGUGAGUAAUGUCUGGGAAACUGCCUGAUGGAGGGGGAUAACUACUGGAAACGGUAGCUAAUACCGCAUAACGUCGCAAGACCAAAGAGGGGGACCUUCGGGCCUCUUGCCAUCAGAUGUGCCCAGAUGGGAUUAGCUAGUAGGUGGGGUAACGGCUCACCUAGGCGACGAUCCCUAGCUGGUCUGAGAGGAUGACCAGCCACACUGGAACUGAGACACGGUCCAGACUCCUACGGGAGGCAGCAGUGGGGAAUAUUGCACAAUGGGCGCAAGCCUGAUGCAGCCAUGCCGCGUGUAUGAAGAAGGCCUUCGGGUUGUAAAGUACUUUCAGCGGGGAGGAAGGGAGUAAAGUUAAUACCUUUGCUCAUUGACGUUACCCGCAGAAGAAGCACCGGCUAACUCCGUGCCAGCAGCCGCGGUAAUACGGAGGGUGCAAGCGUUAAUCGGAAUUACUGGGCGUAAAGCGCACGCAGGCGGUUUGUUAAGUCAGAUGUGAAAUCCCCGGGCUCAACCUGGGAACUGCAUCUGAUACUGGCAAGCUUGAGUCUCGUAGAGGGGGGUAGAAUUUCAGGUGUAGCGGUGAAAUGCGUAGAGAUCUGGAGGAAUACCGGUGGCGAAGGCGGCCCCCUGGACGAAGACUGACGCUCAGUGCGAAAGCGUGGGGGAGCAACAGGAAUUAGAUACCCUGGUAGUCCACGCCGUAAACGAUGUCGACUUGGAGGUUGUGCCCUUGAGGCGUGGCUUCCGGAGCUAACGCGUUAAGUCGACCGCCUGGGGAGUACGGCCGCAAGGUUAAAACUUAAAUGAAUUGACGGGGGCCCGCACAAGCGGUGGAGCAUGUGGUUUAAUUCGAUGCAACGCGAAGAACCUUACCUGGUCUUGACAUCCACGGAAGUUUUCAGAGAUGAGAAUGUGCCUUCGGGAACCGUGAGACAGGUGCUGCAUGGCUGUCGUCAGCUCGUGUUGUGAAAUGUUGGGUUAAGUCCCGCAACGAGCGCAACCCUUAUCCUUUGUUGCCAGCGGUCCGGCCGGGAACUCAAAGGAGACUGCCAGUGAUAAACUGGAGGAAGGUGGGGAUGACGUCAAGUCAUCAUGGCCCUUACGACCAGGGCUACACACGUGCUACAAUGGCGCAUACAAAGAGAAGCGACCUCGCGAGAGCAAGCGGACCUCAUAAAGUGCGUCGUAGUCCGGAUUGGAGUCUGCAACUCGACUCCAUGAAGUCGGAAUCGCUAGUAAUCGUGGAUCAGAAUGCCACGGUGAAUACGUUCCCGGGCCUUGUACACACCGCCCGUCACACCAUGGGAGUGGGUUGCAAAAGAAGUAGGUAGCUUAACCUUCGGGAGGGCGCUUACCACUUUGUGAUUCAUGACUGGGGUGAAGUCGUAACAAGGUAACCGUAGGGGAACCUGCGGCUGGAUCACCU
rnacentral:rRNA from 1 species